AAUUUUUUUUUUUACUUACCUAUUCUAUUCACGUAUUUAAUUAUGUUCUGAUAAAAAGAAGUACAUUUAAUCUGUAAUAUAUAUACACAUACAUAUAUAUAUUGAUUCUUUUUUUAUGUUCUUUUAUUUUUUCUAUUAAUUUAUAAAGUAAAUAAUUUUUAGUUUUUGAUAUAUUUAUUUUAAAUCACAUUUUUAAUUUUUCAUUUUUUUUUUUAAGUACAUAUUUCUGCUUUAAAUUCAUAUAUUUUUCUUUUUUUUUUCUCUGCAUAAAUAUAUAUUUAUAUCUAUAUUUAUAUCUAUCUAUCUAUCUAUCUAUCUAUAUAUAUAUGUAUGUUUGUAUUUUUUUUUUUUUUUAUAGUAAAAAUAUUCAUACUAUUAAAUCUUUUUAUAAAUAUAGUCAUAACACAUUAGUUUAAUUUAUGUAUAGUGAUACGCAAUUACUUGUACAUACAAAGUUUUAUGUACGCGCUUUCUUAUUAAAUCAUUUAUAUGUAUAAAUAAUAAUAUAAUUGUAUGUUAUUAUAUGUGUACGUAAUUAUAUGCAUAUAUGUUAGUGUAUAUAUAUAUAUAUAUAUAUGUCAUUAGGGUAGUACAUUAUUUUAAUUAGAUACAUAAAUAUAUACAUGUACAGAUAGAUAUAUAACUACAUAUUGCACAUCUUUUGUAAAAAACAAAAAAUUUGUAACAAAAAUGUUAUACAAAACACAACUUUGUUCAUUCUAUGCAAAAGGAAUAUGUGCAAGAGGCAACAGAUGCAGUUGGGCUCAUGGGGAGUUGGAUGUUAGGCCUAUGCCUAAAUUUUACAAGACUAGGAUGUGUUAUACGUUUUUAUCUGGUAGUUACUGUGAAGCUUCUAAAUGUACGUUCGCACACACAGAAGAAGAAUUAAGAGGUUCAGGAAAAGCUUUGAGAUUAUGUACAAAGUAUUUUUUAGAUGGCUACUGCAAUAAAGCUGACAAAUGUCCUAUGGCUCAUAACAUAAAUCAACUAGACCCAUCAGUAAAAUUUUCAUCAAGUGAAUUAAUGAAUAAGGUUUAUUCUAAUGAGGAUAAUGUAUAUUAUAAUAAUAAUAAUAACCUUGACUUGCCAAAGAAUGAUAAUAAGGAAACUGAAGGAAAUGGUCGUAAAAACAGUAGUAGAAGCAGUAGUACACAUAACAAUAAUUACAACAUCCAUGGAGGAACUAAUAAUAAUAUAAGUCAUAAUAUCCAUAACUAUCACAAUAAUAAUAGUAGUAAUAAUGCAGUUUUUGAAAUUACGAACGAGUUAGAUGACGUUAAUGUAAAAAAGCAUUUAAAAGAUUACCAUAUUAUGAACAAUUUUAAUAAUAGUGAAAAUGACAAAAACGAUAUUGAUGAUCCAAAAAAGAAUAGUUAUAAGAUUUAUAGAAAUUGUGAGAAAAAAAUGUAUAAAGAUUAUUUAUUGGAUGACAACCAGACAAAUGAUUACUUUGAUGAAAUAAAAAAAGGAAAUGGUAAUUCGUUUGUUACUCUUUUUGUGCAUCUGCUGUGCAUAUAAUGAUCAAUUUGUACGUAUUUUUACGUAUUUUUACGUAUUUGUACGUAUUUUUACGUAU
ensembl:lncRNA